rnacentral:rRNA from 1 species
AGAACGAACGCUGGCGGCAGGCCUAACACAUGCAAGUCGAACGCCCCGCAAGGGGAGUGGCAGACGGGUGAGUAACGCGUGGGAACAUACCUUUCGGUUCGGAAUAGCUCAGGGAAACUUGAAUUAAUACCGGAUACGUCCGCAAGGAGAAAGAUUUAUCGCCGAAAGAUUGGCCCGCGUCCGAUUAGCUAGUUGGUAAGGUAAUGGCUUACCAAGGCGACGAUCGGUAGCUGGUCUGAGAGGAUGAUCAGCCACACUGGGACUGAGACACGGCCCAGACUCCUACGGGAGGCAGCAGUGGGGGAUAUUGGACAAUGGGCGCAAGCCUGAUCCAGCCAUGCCGCGUGAGUGAUGAAGGCCCUAGGGUUGUAAAGCUCGUUUUAACGGGAAGAUAAUGACGGUACCCGUAGAAUAAGCCCGGCUAACUUCGCGCCAGCAGCCGC